AGAGUGAACGCUGGCGGUAGGCCUAACACAUGCAAGUCGAACGGCAGCACGGUAAGAGCUUGCUCUUAUGGGUGGCGAGUGGCGGACGGGUGAGGAAUACAUCGGAAUCUACCUUUUGGUGGGGGAUAACGUAGGGAAACUUACGCUAAUACCGCAUACGCCCUUCGGGGGAAAGCCGGGGACCAGCAAUGGCCUGGCGCUGAUAGAUGAGCCGAUGUCGGAUUAGCUAGUUGGUGAGGUAAUGGCUCACCAAGGCGACGAUCCGUAGCUGGUCUGAGAGGAUGAUCAGCCACACUGGAACUGAGACACGGUCCAGACUCCGUACGGGAGCAGCAGUGGGGAAUAGUGGACAAGU
rnacentral:rRNA from 1 species